CUCCUGGUCGAGGGGACAAUUUGCAUACUAUGCUUUUAUUAUAUAAGAUAAGUGCUAAAUGACAGGGAAGAGAAGGACAUCACUGACUAAAACAAUAAUACCGUUUCACUAGGUAGACAAAGUGGCUGCCUGUGCCUUCUCUUUCCCAUAAAUGAACAGGGCUGGGAUUUGCCUUCUGAAGCAUGCCACUUCAAGGAAAACAUCGACACUGGACUGAUUAUUUUAUUUUGUUUUUGGUCACUAUAUAAAGAAAAUAAACACAAAACACAUUGUAACCAUGUAUUUACUCUGCCAAGUGCCAAUAUUCCAAUAAAAUGUUCAUUCUUGGA